rnacentral:ncRNA from 1 species
AAAAAUAAAGCGCCAGAACUUUCUUUAAUCAAUCAUUAUAGAUAAGCUUAGAGAAAGUUGACGAGGACUAGAGUUAUCGAAAAUUCGGCGGAUGCUCUAGAGGGACCACACCCUGACAAGGUGACAAAACUAUAAGGUAACGAAUAGGACAAAAC